rnacentral:lncRNA from 1 species
CGGGUGGAGAGGGGGUGGGGGGGGGGUGCAGAUCGCGGCGCCUCCCUGCCCUCUGGCCCUGCUGAGACUCCACCGCCCACCCCACCUCCCGGUAGCAGAAGGGGCAGAAGCAGAGACGUUUCCUCUGCAGACAUCGGGGAGGGUGGGGUCAGGGCCGCGCGUUUCCAGCCCUGAGGCUCUUCCCGGGAACCCACCUCCCAGACCUUUGCUGGAGUGGCACCCACGCUCCCGAGACGCCCAGGCAGUUUCUGGGGGGAUCUGCUUAUACAGAGCAGCCGCCCCUGAGGUCAAAACCCUGCCCAGGGUUCCCUUACACGAUUUACGGAAGAGUCACAAAGAUUGUAUAAGAGGGCUCCCUAGACGCUGACAUUGCAGCCACCGAGUGUUCGUCAAAGCUGAGACCUGGACAUGGUACCAGCGACCACCCCACUGAAGACUUCAUGUGGGCCUCACCACUUUUCCAGAUCCGCCUCCCGGGUUCACGCAAUUCCCUUGCCUCCGCCUCCUGAGUACCUGGGACUACAGGCACGCGCCACCACGCCUGGCUAAUUUUUGUAUUUUCAGUAGAGACGGGUUUCACCGUAUUGGCCAGGGUGGUCUCGAACUCCUGACUGCCUGAUCCGCCUGCCUCGGCCUCCUAAAGUGCUGGGAUUACAGGCAUGAGCCACUGCACCCAGCCCAAUGUUAAUUUUUAAGAAUGGAAAAAUGCUUUUUAACUUGAAAUAAAACUACGGGGAAAAUUAUAGAAUUGAA